UACGGGGGGAGCAAGCGUUGUUCGGAUUUACUGGGCGUAAAGGGCGCGUAGGCGGCCACCGCAAGUCGACUGUGAAAUCUCCGGGCUUAACCCGGAAAGGUCAGCCGAUACUGCGGGGCUAGAGUGCAGAAGGGGCAACUGGAAUUCUCGGUGUAGCGGUGAAAUGCGUAGAUAUCGAGAGGAACACCUGCGGCGAAGGCGGGUUGCUGGGCUGACACGUGACGCUG
rnacentral:rRNA from 1 species